UGCCAGCAGCCGCGGUAAUACGGAGGGGGCAAACGUUAUUCGGAUUUACUGGGCGUAAAGGGUUCGUAGGCGGUUUUUUAAGUUAGAUGUGAAAGCUUGAAGCUUAACUUCAAAAUAGCAUCUAAAACUGAAUUACUAGAUUCUUGGAGAGGUAGAUGGAAUUACCGGUGUAGCGGUGAAAUGCGUAGAUAUCGGUAGGAACACCAGUGGCGAAAGCGAUCUACUGGACAAGUAAUGACGCUGAGGGACGAAAGCGUGGGUAGCAAACAGGAUUAGAUA
rnacentral:rRNA from 1 species